rnacentral:snRNA from 1 species
GAAGAAGAAUUCGUCUCUUCA